rnacentral:lncRNA from 1 species
GCCCCCCCCCCCGGUGCCCCCCAGCGCAGCAGCAGCAGCAGCAGCAGCAGAACCUUCCCCCCCCCCCGGGGGGGGCACAGCGCUGCCCGUCUCUCUCGGCGCGGGCGGCGUCGCGCUGCGCCCGCAGCUCGAAGCUUUUGGUGAUGAGCUGCACCGCGUUCAUCUCCUGGCAGCGAAGGGGGGGGCCGUGGCGGCUCUGCCGGGGGGGCUCCCGGUGGUGGGGCUGGAGGCGGCGCUCCGGGGGGGUCCGAACGCCGCCCCCCAUCUCCGCGCUCUCGGUGCUCCCGGUGGCGACGACGCGCCGCUCGCGGUGGCGCCGCGGGGCGAUGCAGGCGCAGCCGUGCGGGUGCGCGGGGGGCUGCGGGGGGGCGGCGUGGCACGGCAGCGCCGGGGGUCUCUGCGGGGAGAGCGGCGGCUGAGACGGCCGGCCUGGGCCGGGGGGCCUCGCCGGGACACGUUCCAUGGCAGCGCGUCACCGUGUGCCGGGUACUGCGUGCCGUGUGCCGCCGUGUGUCACCGUGUGCCAUGUCCUGUGUGCCAUGUGCCACCAUGUGCCAUGUUAUUUGUCGUGUGCCAUGUGCCGCCAUGUGCCAUGUCCUGCGUGCCAUGUGCCACCAUGUGCCACUAUGUGCCAUGUGCCACCAUGUGCCAUGUGUCGCCAUGUGCCACGUUAUUUGCCGUGUGCUGCCAUGUGCCAGCACGGUGUCCCACGCCACGUUCCAGGCACGGAGCGCAGAUGCCACACGCCGCGCCCCCCGUGCCGCAUUAUUUGCCACCCCCCCCGCCCCCAGAGCCUCCGCUCGGUGCCCACCUGCCGUCCCUCGCGGUGCGGCGCUCCUCCGCCUUCGGCCGUGCAGCAGGCGCAGGGCUCGGUGCCGUCCCGGUACCCGCGGCGAUGCCGUUCGUCCCGCCGCUCCGGCCGGGCCCGGCAGCCCUGCACCGCGUUACCGCGGCUCGGCGACGCUCGGAGCCCUCCGUGCUCGGCGCGGAUCUCGUCGUCCCGGCGUUGCUCCCGGCGCUCGGCGCCGCUCAGCACCUCGACGGCGGCGCAGCAGCUCCGCACGGCGCGCCACGCCGCCCCCCGGCCCCGCGACCCCGGAGCUCCGUCGCUCGGCCCCGCUCCGUGCCGGCCGCGCAGCCCGCCCGCCUCGCCGUCGCCGUCGCUGCCGCUGCCGCCGGUGUCGGUGCCGCUGCCGGUGCCGCUGUCGGUGUCGGUGCCGGCCGGGCUCGGCGCUCGCGCCGGGCGGUGGCUCAGGAAUUUCUCCAGCGUCCGCGCGGCCAACCCGGCGGCGAUGAAGGAGCGGUCGAUGGCGGAGUCCGGCGCGGCGCCGCCGAUGUGACACGACGCCAGCACGGAGCCCAGCGCCUCGGCCACGCCGGGGGGCUCCGAACCGUCCGGAGGCGGCGGGCGCCGGCGGUCGACGGCCGCGCCGCGGGGCUGCGGUGCGGGGCUGCGGCUCGGCGGAUCCCGGGGGUGCGGAGCGGCGCCGGUCGCGCGGCAGCUGCAGCAGAACCCGGCGGGGGGCGGCGGCGGCGGGGUUCCUGCGGGGGGCGAACGGGGGGGGGGGNNNNNNNNNNNCGACCGGGGCGAAACAACGGGGGCGGCCCGCCGGGGUCGCCGGGUCGGGGGUCACCCGGCUGGGGUCGCUGCGCCCGGGACGCUGCGCUGGGGGCGACACGCUGGGGGGCUCUGCUGGGUCACCGCGUGGGACACCGCACUGGGGGCACCCCGUUGGGUCACUGUUCUGGGGACGAUCCGCUGGGGACGGUCCAUUGGGGACAGUGCAAUGGGGACAAUCCAAGGGGACAGUCCAGUGGGGACACCCUGCUGGGGACAGGCCAUUGGGAAGAGUCCAUUGGGGACAAUCCAAUGGGGACAGUCCAAUGUGGACCCCCCCGGGACGCCCCGUCGGGGUCACUGCACUGGGGACGCCCUGCUGGGGGGGACCUGUUGGGAGCGCUCUGUUAGGGACGCUCCACUGGGACCCUGACAGGAACACAGCGCCCAAAGCCCCCGGUGCUGUGACACUCGGGGUCCGCAUUCCUGCAUCCCCACCC